GAUGAACGCUGGCGGCGUGCCUAAUACAUGCAAGUCGAGCGAACGGACGAGAAGCUUGCUUCUCUGAUGUUAGCGGCGGACGGGUGAGUAACACGUGGAUAACCUACCUAUAAGACUGGGAUAACUUCGGGAAACCGGAGCUAAUACCGGAUAAUAUUUUGAACCGCAUGGUUCAAAAGUGAAAGACGGUCUUGCUGUCACUUAUAGAUGGAUCCGCGCUGCAUUAGCUAGUUGGUAAGGUAACGGCUUACCAAGGCAACGAUGGAUAGCCGACCUGAGAGGGUGACCGGAAAAGAGGGGACGGAGACAAGGCACAGACGAGUAAGGGAGGGAGUAGGGGGGAAUAUUGAAAAAGGGGAGAAAGCGUGAUGCAGAGAUGCCGAGUGGGGGAGGAUGGCAGUCGGGUUGUAAAACGAUGUAAGUAGGGAAGAAGCGAGCGUGACGGUAAAGGCAGAAGAAGCGACGGCGAACGACGUA
rnacentral:rRNA from 1 species